UCUGGGGCUCCAGAGGGCUGUAUCCUCAGGAGGUGUCCAGUCUUGCUGGUUCAGCAAGCUUGAUAAGCAUGAAGCUUCUGUCUUUGGUGGUCUUGGUCGGGGGUUUGCUGGUGCCCCCAGCUCAAGCCAACAAGAGUUCUGAAGAUAUCCGGUGCAAAUGCAUCUGUCCACCUUAUAGAAACAUCAGUGGGCACAUUUACAACCAGAAUGUAUCUCAGAAGGACUGCAACUGCCUGCACGUGGUGGAGCCCAUGCCCGUGCCUGGCCAUGGAGGCCUAGUGCCUGCUAUGUGAGUGCAAGUAGUCUACCUGUCCGUGGUGGGGGCCCUUUUGCUGUACAUGGCCUUCCUGAUGCUGGUGGACCCUCUGAUUGGAAAACCAGAUGCUUACACUGAACAACUGCACAAUGAAGAGAAGAAUGAGGAUGCUCUGUCCCUGGCAGGUCCCUGGCAGCCGCUGCUGCAUCCCUCGCACCCCCAAACACCGUCCUAGAGCUGUGGAGGGUGCUCAGCAGCGGUGGAAGCUGCAGGUGCAGGAGCAGCGAAAGACAGUUUUUCAUCCGCACAAAAUGCUCAGCUAG